UACGUAGGGGGCAAGCGUUGUCCGGAAUCAUUGGGCGUAAAGAGCGUGUAGGCGGCCCGGUAAGUCCGCUGUGAAAGUCCAGGGCUCAACCCUGGGAUGCCGGUGGAUACUGUCGGGCUCGAGUCCGGAAGAGGCGAGUGGAAUCCCGGUGUAGCGGUGAAAUGCGCAGAUAUCGGGAGGAACACCAAUGGCGAAGGCGGUUCUCUGGGACG
rnacentral:rRNA from 1 species